GAUAUCUCUUAUACUACGAUUUAUAUUGGUAUUAUUUUCCUAUGUGUCACUUAUCAUUCAAUCCACCUGCAUUUCUCUGUAAUUACGUAAAACUGUAAUAUAUCCUGUUGAGUGUGCUGGAUUUUCCCCUCAGCAGCCAGAUGACAAGAAUCUGACCAAACGCGUCAGGACAGUGCUAUCGCUUCUCAAUGCGGAAACUAAGUGUUUAAAUAUCUCUAACAUGAUUUCACUCGACCUACUUUGAAGAAAACCAGCCGUCACGGUUCCGUCUCGCGCGGCUUCUGGAAUGAUCGUGUCUGCUGCUUCUUUCAGAUCGCGGACCUUCAGGCGCUGCACUGCUGCUCACGCCAGAUAACCAGUAGCGCUCUGGCAUCUGGCCAGGUGGAGAGCCGUGGUCCGAUCUCUCAUGCCCCCAACAGCCCCGCAGGAAUGGAGAGCAGUCAACCAAUCA